UACAGGGGGUGCAAACGUUGCUCGGAAUUAUUGGGCGUAAAGCGCGCGUAGGCGGCUACUUAUGUCGGAUGUGAAAGCCCUUGGCUCAACUGAGGAAGUGCACCCGAAACUGAGUAGCUGGAGUACGAAAGAGGGUCGCGGAAUUCCCGGUGUAGAGGUGAAAUGCGUAGAUAUCGGGAGGAACAUCAGUGGCGAAGGCGGCCCUCUGGUCCAGUACUGACACUCAAGUGCGAAAGCGUGGGGAGCAAACAGG
rnacentral:rRNA from 1 species